GAUAUUUUUUACUCUACCGCAAUAAAAUGUGAAAUUAAUUUCCUACAACUGUCAAAUUCAAGGUAAAAUUGUUUUUAGCCUUUGUUUUCGUAUGCAACCGAAUGUGACGUACUAUGAUUUGGUGGUAUUAAUCCUAGGUAGACAACGAUCUGUUGUAGUUUAGCUAGAAAACGUAUUGUUGCAUUGUUUAAGUAAAUAGACAACGCUCUUGGUCCGUAUGCAUAAAGCUACUAAGUUAAGAUGUGUUCCGAA
rnacentral:lncRNA from 1 species